AUUGAACGCUGGCGGCAGGCUUAACACAUGCAAGUCGAACGAGUGGCGGACGGGUGAGUAAUGCUUGGGAAUCUGGCUUAUGGAGGGGGAUAACGACGGGAAACUGUCGCUAAUACCGCGUACCAUAGGCUGAGCCCAUGUGGGAUUAGGUAGUUGGUGGGGUAAGGGCCUACCAAGACGACUAUCUCUAGCUGGUCUGAGAGGAUGACCAGCCACACCGGGACGGAGACACGGCCCAGACUCCUACGGGAGGCAGCAGUGGGGAAUUUUGGACAAUGGGCGCAAGCUGAUCCAGCCAUGCCGCGUGUCUGAAGAAGGCCUUCGGGUUGUAAAGGACUUUUGUCAGGAAGACGGUACCUGAAGAAUAAGCACCGGCUAACUACGUGCCAGCAGCCGCGGUAAUUC
rnacentral:rRNA from 1 species